rnacentral:rRNA from 1 species
AGAGUUUGAUCCUGGCUCAGAAUCAACGCUGGCGGCGCGCUUAACACAUGCAAGUCGAACGAGAAAGGGAGCAAUCCUGAGUAAAGUGGCGUACGGGUGAGUAACACGUGGAUCAUAUGCCUUUUAGUGGGGAAUAACUUUGGGAAACCGAAGCUAAUACCGCAUAAUCCCGAGAGGGGAAAGCAGCAAUGCGCUGAAAGAGUAGUCCGCGGCUGAUUAGCUAGUUGGUGAGGUAAUGGCUCACCAAGGCUGUGAUCGGUAGCCGGCCUGAGAGGGCACACGGCCACACUGGCACUGAAACACGGGCCAGACUCCUACGGGAGGCAGCAGUGGGGAAUCUUGCACAAUGGACGAAAGUCUGAUGCAGCGACGCCGCGUGAGCGAUGAAGCCCUUCGGGGUGUAAAGCUCUUUCGACAGGAACGAUAAUGACGGUACCUGGAGAAGAAGCUGCGGCUAACUACGUGCCAGCAGCCGCGGUAAUACGUAGGCAGCAAGCGUUGUUCGGAAUUACUGGGCGUAAAGCGUGCGUAGGCGGUGCUACAAGUUCGGUGUGAAAUCUCCCGGCUCAACUGGGAGGGUGCGCCGAAAACUGUAGUGCUCGAGUGUGGGAGAGGUAAGCGGAAUUCCUGGUGUAGCGGUGAAAUGCGUAGAUAUCAGGAGGAACACCGGCGGUGUAGACGGCUUACUGGACCAUAACUGACGCUGAGGCACGAAAGUGUGGGUAGCAAACAGGAUUAGAUACCCUGGUAGUCCACACCCUAAACGAUGCAUACUUGGUGUGAGCCAUUCAUUUGGUUCG